CCCCCCCCCCCCCCCAAACUCCACCUCUCUCUUUCGUGCCUUUCCCUCUCUGCAAACCCACAUGUCCACCCAAACAUCAUUUUCCCUCGCCGUCCGCACACCUUUCAACUAUUUGCAUUCACUGGUGCCACUGCCAUCGUUCAACGAGUCGAGGCGUUGCAACGUUCUCCGGGUCUGAAGCUAUUCGCUGCAGCUCUGUUCGUUGUCGCACACCGUAGCCAGAUCCCUACCGUUCUGUCUGUCUCACGUAGGGAUUGCUGCAGUCGAUGACUUGCUUCGGGUUGCGUUCAACCGACCAUCCGACGACCGCUUUUCAGAUCUGGCCGACACCCAUUAGUCUUUUCGUUGUCGGACGUUGUCGCUUAGGUUUUCGCUGGAUCUUGAGUUUUGGUGUAAGUUUUUAGGUUUUUCAUGAAAACUUACCCAUUUAAAUUUUUUCCCAAUACUUAUUUAAUCCAUAAAUUUUGGAUGAUGGAUUCAGGAAUUUGAGGAUAUUAAAUUGCCAUCCAAUAGUGUUUGAGGUUCGAUUUUGGUGUUUUGGGCUAAAUUUGAUUUGACCUUAGGUUUUGGGGCUUGAACUUGAAUUCUUGGAAGGAGUUGUGUAGGCAAAAGUUUGUUGUCCAGUUGUUUCAGUGAUUGACUUUGGAGGUUUGAGUUGAGACCUUGAGGUGGUUUUGGAUCAAACCACUACUGGGUAAGGCGCGUCGUUAAUUUUUUGGGUAAGGGGUCACAGUUAGUCUCAUGCUCCCUUUGGUAUUUAUAGGCAAUCUAAGGCCGUACUCGUCAUCCUCUCAAUCUCCAUACCCAUGACACCUCCUACUUCAUGAAAAUCCAAGUGUCUUCUUCAUGUUGAGCCAACGCAUAGCCUUUGCCACCACUUACUUGCAUGUAAGACCUAGGUGUCUUUACCAUGCAAUGUCUAACACAUGGCUUCUUUCGAGGUUUCAAUCCAAUACUUUGCAUGCUCUUCCCUGGUCUCCUAGGCGUCCACCUCAAGCUUUGACACUUAGUCAAUUUCAUGUCAUGCUGCCACUUAACUUCCUAAGGUAUCCACUUUCACGCUGCCCACCUCCUCCUUACAAAUUUGGUCCAACUAGUGUAUGCAUAACCUAAAUCUUCACCCAUCAUGUGUCCAAAUGUGUCCAUUUCUCAAGGCAUGCAUCCAACCACUCCAUUUUCCACCCUCUAGGCGCCCAACAUGCCCAUACUAGGGUGUGUGUCCAACAAAUUUGUCCAACACUUAGUCAAAUUUUCUCCCCUAAACAUACCAUGCGUUCAACUUUUCCUCCCCAACUUUUGCAUGCCUAAUUUCACCACUUGGAGGUUCUCCUAAGUCUUUUAACUCCCUCCAAAGCAUAGUCUAAGCACUUAGUCACAUUUCCACUUCUCUAGUGGUUAUGCGUCCAACUCUCACUUCCAACACUUAGCUAAAUUCCCGACUAAAGACACCAUGCGUUCACCAUCCUUAGACGAUGCAUCCAACCCUAUUUCCUCGCUUUAGUUGUGCAAAGUUCAAUGCAUGGUUGUCCAAAACUUAACAAAUUCUUCCCUCUAUGGAUUAAACUAUGCGUCCAGCUCAUGCUUUUAACACUUGGGCAAUUUUCAGACAAUGCUCUGAGUUCAAACUUUCUCUCUCAAUGUUCAAACGCAUGGCUCCAUUUUCUCUCAAGUGUUUAGGGUAUCUUUCUCACAUGCUCAACUAUGCUUCCAACCUUCAUUUCCAGUAUUUAGCUAAAUUUUGCUCCUUUUAGGCCAACCCAUGCCUUUAAGCUUUUCUAGCCCAAAGCAUAGUUAGAAUACUUAGCCAAAAUUCUGACUUCAUCCUAUUAUGCUUCCAACUCUUGAAUCCCAACAUUUUUCUCCAGAUACACAAAACUUUUCUUCUCUUCUUAUCUUCUAGACCAACGCAUACUUCACUCCUAACCACAUGGUCCCAACAUCUAAAAAUUUUCUAAGUGCUAAUGCUUCCUCAAAAGCAUAAUUCAGACACUUAGCCAAAAUUCUACCCUCUAAAUUUUCAGCUUAGGUUCCCAUCAAGUAUUCUUAACUCCAAGGCAUAGUUUAGGGACUUAGCCAAACUUUUUCCUUCCAAGACUUUAAUUCCGAGUUCUUCCUCAACCUAAGAAAUCCUAUGGGAGCUCGGGUGUCACAAUCAACUUGCUUGCAAUGGUUAUAUCAUGAAUGCAACUUGUUCUAUAGCGCAAUAAGAGUGCAACUAUAGAUCUUUAGUGGAGUGCCUUAUAAUUAAUGAUGAAGUUUAAUUAAUUAAAGAGUUUAGUUAAUUAAUCUAGUAUCAUUGGAGAUUAUAAUUUGUAGGUCCAUAAGGUCCCUUUGUUAACUGAUAAUAGAUCAACAUGAAUUAAUGAUAUUGAAAAAAAAUUGUAAUGUUUAAAUAGGAAAAAUAUAUUCUUCUUAUUAGAUACAAUUAAUAUAAGUAUUAUUGUAUUAAGAUACACUAUUAUAAGGUUAAUUUGAAUGAGAUUCAAACUAAAACUAUAUAAUGUGAGAGAAUUAAAUUAUUUGAAUAUAAUUCAAAUAAUUAGUCAAUUUAAUAUAAGAUAUUAAAAUGAAUGGAUAAGGUUGACCUAAUUAAGCACCUAUAUAUACAACCUUACAGAGGUGGAAAAAAAGGUGAUUCAUUCCAAAAAAAUCUUGCACUCUGCAUAACUCUCCUACUUCCAAGGAAAAUCACAGAGAAAAGUUAUACUUGAUUUUUCCACUUCUUUUCUUCUCUUCUUUUAAAGAGACUCCCAUAGGCUUGAUUUCCCGCCAUAUACAUAGUAAGAAAGACCUUGUGGUGGUGGAUUUAUUGGAUGAAGGCAGAUCACAAGAGUUCUCAAUGGCACGUACUUCAAAGUUUCCUUGUAAUGGCAUUUGGAUCUUUAAAGAAGAAUUAUGAGGAGGUCAAAGCUAUUUCUGAGAAGCAAGAAUCAAGGUCCAUCAAUAUGAAGCUAAAGUUUAGAGCUUGACUAUUGGCUACUCUCAAGUUAGAACGCUGGUUCUUCUUUGGCAUCUCUCAAACUCCUUCCAACAAAUGCAACCAUUGGUGGGUCAUUUUGACUUUAAGUCUUUUAUGUACCCUUGUCUCCUUUUUGCUUUUCCUUGAUGUUGUCAUUGAGUUGUAUAAGAUUCAAUAUCACCAUGACAUGAUUUGUAAGAAAUUAGCUGAAAUUAGCCAACAAAUUUUGGCAGCAAAAGGCCAUGAUGAUGUUGGUCUAUUAGUGGAGAAUGGAGGGGAAUUUAGUGAUGAUGGAUUUGAAUUGAGUGUCCAUGUGACGAUGCUCAUGUUUGAGGAGUUUAGAAUUGGUUGGGAGAAAGUUUUCAUCUACUUCAGUGCUUGUGUUUUGCUUGUUGUUACUGUUAUUGAUUUAUAUGCUUGUGAGUACUUGUUAUGCAA